GAACGCUAGCUACAGGCUUAACACAUGCAAGUCGAGGGGCAGCAUUUUAGUUUGCUUGCAAACUAAAGAUGGCGACCGGCGCACGGGUGAGUAACACGUAUCCAACCUGCCGAUAACUCGGGGAUAGCCUUUCGAAAGAAAGAUUAAUAUCCGAUAGUAUAUUAAAACCGCAUGGUUUUACUAUUAAAGAAUUUCGGUUAUCGAUGGGGAUGCGUUCCAUUAGUUUGUUGGCGGGGUAACGGCCCACCAAGACUACGAUGGAUAGGGGUUCUGAGAGGAAGGUCCCCCACAUUGGAACUGAGACACGGUCCAAACUCCUACGGGAGGCAGCAGUGAGGAAUAUUGGUCAAUGGACGAGAGUCUGAACCAGCCAAGUAGCGUGAAGGAUGACUGCCCUAUGGGUUGUAAACUUCUUUUAUAUGGGAAUAAAGUAUUCCACGUGUGGAAUUUUGUAUGUACCAUAUGAAUAAGGAUCGGCUAACUCCGUGCCAGCAGCCGCGGUGAUACGGAGGAUCCGAGCGUUAUCCGGAUUUAUUGGGUUUAAAGGGAGCGUAGGUGGAUUGUUAAGUCAGUUGUGAAAGUUUGCGGCUCAACCGUAAAAUUGCAGUUGAAACUGGCAGUCUUGAGUACAGUAGAGGUGGGCGGAAUUCGUGGUGUAGCGGUGAAAUGCUUAGAUAUCACGAAGAACUCCGAUUGCGAAGGCAGCUCACUAGACUGCAACUGACACUGAUGCUCGAAAGUGUGGGUAUCAAACAGGAUUAGAUACCCUGGUAGUCCACACAGUAAACGAUGAAUACUCGCUGUUUGCGAUAUACAGUAAGCGGCCAAGCGAAAGCAUUAAGUAUUCCACCUGGGGAGUACGCCGGCAACGGUGAAACUCAAAGGAAUUGACGGGGGCCCGCACAAGCGGAGGAACAUGUGGUUUAAUUCGAUGAUACGCGAGGAACCUUACCCGGGCUUAAAUUGCAUUUGAAUAACCUGGAAACAGGUUAGCCGCAAGGCAAAUGUGAAGGUGCUGCAUGGUUGUCGUCAGCUCGUGCCGUGAGGUGUCGGCUUAAGUGCCAUAACGAGCGCAACCCUUAUCUUUAGUUACUAACAGGUGAUGCUGAGGACUCUAGAGAGACUGCCGUCGUAAGAUGUGAGGAAGGUGGGGAUGACGUCAAAUCAGCACGGCCCUUACGUCCGGAGCUACACACGUGUUACAAUGGGGGGUACAGAAGGCAGCUACCUGGCGACAGGAUGCUAAUCCCAAAAACCUCUCUCAGUUCGGAUCGAAGUCUGCAACCCGACUUCGUGAAGCUGGAUUCGCUAGUAAUCGCGCAUCAGCCAUGGCGCGGUGAAUACGUUCCCGGGCCUUGUACACACCGCCCGUCAAGCCAUGAAAGCCGGGGGUACCUGAAGUACGUAACCGCAAGGAGCGUCCUAGGGUAAAACUGGU
rnacentral:rRNA from 1 species